rnacentral:rRNA from 1 species
UACGAAGGGGGCGAGCGUUGUUCGGAAUCACUGGGCGUAAAGCGUGCGUAGGUGGCGAGGAAAGUUAGGAGUGAAAGCCCAGGGCUCAACCUUGGAAUUGCUCUUAAAACUCCCUUGCUCGAAUCUCGGAGAGGAUAGCGGAAUUGUCAGUGUAGCAGUGAAAUGCGUAGAUAUUGACAGGAACACCAGUGGCGUAAGCGGCUAUCUGGACGAGUAUUGACACUGAGGCACGAAAGCGUGGGGAUCAAACAGG